rnacentral:lncRNA from 1 species
AUUCAAACAGGCUACUGCUAUUAAGGAUUGCACAACUUCUGGGCAAGGCAGAGGUGGGUUUGGCUUUUUAAAAAUUUUUUCAGCCUGUCCUCAUGGAACUACAUAUUCUUUUCUAAGAACUUUUCAUCCUAACCUCCCUACUCACAUCUUCUAAGUGUCUCUGCUCUGGUGGGAAUGUGAUGGACAACACAGAGCCAUCUCAGAAGCCUCUGUGGCCACCACCAGGCCGGCCAGGGUGCAGGGGGCCACUCCCUGGGCAGCCAUAGGGUUCUCAGCAAGGUGCAUUCGUCGUCCCUGCUGAGAAUCUGAUGGGGCAGCAUUUUUUUUUUUAAUUAAAUGCAAGCUGAGUCAUUUCAACCUGCAACCUUCAGGUAACAGGAGUUACCCAAGCUCCAGGAAUUAUGAUUGUGGGGUAAACCCAUUCUCUUGUUUUCUUGCGGUUCUAUUUUAUAACGCACUAGAGGAGACAGAGACGUCAUUGCUUCACCCAGGGCAAGAGGACAAAGGAGGAUGCAUGGAAAUACAAACAGCCCUUCUCCUCCAGGCCAUACCGACUGUCCAACUAGCAACAGACUUCACCUGGUUUUGGAGCAAUCUGAAUUUGGAAUAUGCCAGAGAAAACUUCUAUCAGGCACGAUGGUAAGAGUCCAGUGGAUGGAAAAGGCCUCCUCCUUAAAGAUGGUGAUGGAAACGAGCACUGCACAGGGAAACACAAAUCAGGUCCCCUGAAAUCCAGCCCAACCUGGCCAGACCCUCCAGUGCCCAUCAGGGCUUAUGAACAGGGUGCUUCAGUGUCUUUGUUAGGGGUGGUUAAAAAGGAGCACGUGCUUAUAGGGGAUGCUGCUGAGCUCCAUGAUUUUGACUUCCUGUCUAACCUGUUGAUGCUACAAAACUCUUUUAAAAACAGUUACCAUGGGAACUUUUCCCUAGCAAGCAUUCUUCAAGAAACGUUACAGGUGCUGGUGAAUUCAAUGCCCUUGGUGUCAAUAAGCUUUUGCUGAGUCUUAGAAUGUGUGGCUUGAACUGAGAGGACUUUCAAACAGAUAAUGCGAAGUUUCCAAUGCAAAUGUCUUCGGGGUUAAGUGUCAGUGAAGUGCAGUGGAAGGUAGGGGGAUAAAAUGAUCUCAGUGUAUAUGGAGGCCCCACUUAAGCAUUCAAAAAAUUCUAUAUACAGUGUUUUCAAUGUAUUAUGUAUCAGCAAAACAAAAUACCCCAUAGGGCUAUAAUCAGCUCAGGGGGUCACCUCAGCAAGAGAUGCUCUGGCUAUCACUCCUACUACGGGAUUUCCUCUCUCAUCAGAACCAGUAGGUGGUCAAAACCACAAUAAUGCAUAAAUGAAGGCAGGGAAUUGGGUAUCCAAUGUGAGCAACUGAAAAGGUGCCAUGUAUUAGCUAUUUGCCAUUAUGGUUCUGCAAGUGCUCAGAUGACUCAUAAAAUGACCAGAACAAAAGUUUGUUCUUUUGUUUUUACUUUGAGAAGAUAAAGAAUCACGAAUUAGUAUUCAAGGUUACCUAAUACUAACCCUUGUCUACCACGUGACCUUGCAUUACAGGGAGCUGUUGUUGGGACAGGACAAGAGUCCACAUCCCCUGCCCAGUGCCUGGUUCUGGGUCAUGUCACCGAAGCGCAUCAGCCCAUCUGUCAGCCAAACCCCACUAGCCUUGUGCCUUCUCUUCUAAAUCCCCGCGGAGGAAAACAACUUCUGCCUUCUACAGUACGAACAGCGAGGGUCUGCUGGGAACCAAUACAACUUCGCGUCCCAGUGCAGCAAUGUUGCCAGGUAAGGACAGCCCCUGUCCUUCUGUAAGGAAGAGGAAGCGAAGGGAACUUCCCCCAGGCGCUGGUGGGAACAUCUUAGGAGGAAGGAACAUAGAAAUUGGCAAGGACUCGAAGGACGGAUAUGAAAGUGCCGUGAGCCCUGCUGAGCCCCAUGUGUGCCAAAAAUUAAUUCAUAAGCAAAUGCUUAUUUUAUAGUUUCCCACUUGCUACAAAACAUCAAGCCACAAGGAAAUAUUUCUUCUGGGGGCUGACAGGAAGCGGGUGGCACCAGAGUGGGGAGAAAGAAAGCCGGAAGUUCUCUUCAAGACAAGCGUGAUCCUAUCACCUGACAACGUGUCACCCGUUUCUGGAAAAUCCACGGGCUGUGGUACUGUCUCCUUGUUCCCAUAAGCGGAGGGUUCAAUGUGAAGCCUGCUCUGAUGGCAGCCAGGUAGGAGAAGUCUGGGAGUCACGAUCUACCCUCAGAUGUUAUCACCAUUGCAGGAGCCGGGGCAGGAAGAAAAGAUGCUGGGAGACCUGGGGACACCACCCCUGGGAGUCCAUUAUGCCAGACUGGGAAGUAACCUGUAUUUGGCUUCCAGGCAUUUCAGGGCUUUAGGUGAUGAUGUGAUGGAUGACAGGGUUUCAUAAUAAGGGAGCAAACCCUCCAUGAGAGUGCCUAGCAAGCACUGUAUGUCAUUAUUUGUGGAUUCCCAUAAAUUGAAUCCUCUAGGGUCUGGACAAUGAAAUCUAGAAUUUCUGGAGUGCUGUGAUUCCCAGUGAGCUUAUCCUAAGGCAGGACUGAAUUUUCUUACAACAUCCAAAAGGAGAAAGACAAGAGUCAACACUUUUGCAAAGAAGGGAUUUAGUAUCCAGGGAGAUCCAAACUCCUCAACUGCAGAGACAAUGGUGUCUCCCUUUCCUGCAGCUGUAGCAUCCAGCUUGGGGGCCUGGCUGACCCAUGGU